AAAGUGUUAGUAAAAACAUUACAUAACUUUGUCAAAGUUAAAUUAUAGGCUAAACACCCAUACACUUUUA
rnacentral:tRNA from 1 species